GGAUAUGGGAGAGUUCAAACAUGGAGAGGCCAUGUGGAAGCCAUGGUAGGUGAUGUGAAUUUAUAUAUGAAUGACCUGAGGUAUUCUCCUUUUCCUAUCAUGUGUGCUUCUUCAAACAGUUUUUCAGGUCAGUUAGUAUGAUUACCUGACUCUGAGGCAUGGUUUUUAUCUCAGACAAUCACUAUUGUCUAAAGAAUAGUCUUUGCUUCCUCACUUUCUGCCUAGGAUUUCCAACACUGUCAAUGACCACCAGCUCAGUCAUAGAAAGAAUUGAAAGCAUCACAAGAUUGACAAAAAGCAUGCUUUGGCUGUUCAUUCGCAGAAGACCAGCAAAACCAAAGCUAUAAAACAAUGCAAUUUAUCUGGCUUCUGUUGGAUCAAAAGCACACAGUAUAACUGCUCUAGUAUACUCUUGAUAUUCCAACCUCUCUACGGCGUGCCUAGUGUUUUUUUCAAGAUCUCCUAGUCUUCUCGUCUGGCGGCGCUCAUCGGUGGUGGCCGGUUCGCCAUGCCGACUGGGCUGCUGCUGAAAGCUAUGCCGGUAGUCUCCUGAGUGCGGCGUGGCUCGAGGCUUUGUGCGGAAUGGAUGAUGAUGGAGCCUGGGUUUUUCGGAUUGUGUAGGUGGUGCUUGUCGACGGCUUCCAUGACCUAUGGCGGUGGGCAUCUUCGGCAGGGAAUCUCCUGGACCUAUGACGGCGUGGUGGCCAUGGCGGUUUUCCGGCAGAUUGGUGGGGCGGCGGGGCUUUGGUGGUCUGGAGGUGGGAGGAAGUGGCAGGCUCGGGUCAUCCUUUGGCUGCUGGACCCAUUCUCUUGGGACUGCUCUCUUUUGGGCUGGGGUGUUUUUGCCCUAGGUCCAUCCUAUGUUUUUUUAGUUUUUCUAAUUACAAUAAGGUUCCGUUUCUAGGGACAUUCUACGCACAUUUGUGCAUCUAGUUUUAGUAUUUAGUUUUGGAAUUUGGUCUGGUCUUGUCAACUUAAUUCUCAGUGGAUCUAGGUGUACACCAAUUGAGGUCUCUAGGCAGCUAGGUUUAUUGGUUAAAGAGUUAGGUUGGAAGGGCCGGAUCUCUCUAGUGCCUCCGGCGUAGUACCAAAGGGGGAUUCCCGCUAUGUCUACGUAUUGAUUGUACAAUGAGUGGGUCUGUGUUUCUAUGUACCGUUGUGGGUACUACCA